UACGGAGGGGGCAAGCGUUGUUCGGAGUUACUGGGCGUAAAGCGCGCGUAGGCGGUGCGGUAAGUCAGGGGUUAAAGGCUGCAGCUCAACUGCAGUAAGGCCUUUGAUACUAUCGUGCUAGAGUGUCAGAGAGGAUGGCGGAAUUCCCGGUGUAGCGGUGAAAUGCGUAGAUAUCGGGAGGAAUACCGGUGGCGAAGGCGCCCCUCUGGACGGUAACUGACGCUGAGGCGCGAAAGCGUGGGGAGCAAACAGG
rnacentral:rRNA from 1 species